rnacentral:rRNA from 1 species
AUUGAGCGCUGGCGGCAGGCCUAACACAUGCAAGUCGAGCGGAUGAAGGGAGCUUGCUCCUGGAUUCAGCGGCGGACGGGUGAGUAAUGCCUAGGAAUCUGCCUGGUAGUGGGGGAUAACGUCCGGAAACGGGCGCUAAUACCGCAUACGUCCUGAGGGAGAAAGUGGGGGAUCUUCGGACCUCACGCUAUCAGAUGAGCCUAGGUCGGAUUAGCUAGUUGGUGGGGUAAAGGCCUACCAAGGCGACGAUCCGUAACUGGUCUGAGAGGAUGAUCAGUCACACUGGAACUGAGACACGGUCCAGACUCCUACGGGAGGCAGCAGUGGGGAAUAUUGGACAAUGGGCGAAAGCCUGAUCCAGCCAUGCCGCGUGUGUGAAGAAGGUCUUCGGAUUGUAAAGCACUUUAAGUUGGGAGGAAGGGCAGUAAGUUAAUACCUUGCUGUUUUGACGUUACCAACAGAAUAAGCACCGGCUAACUUCGCG